rnacentral:rRNA from 1 species
UACGUAGGCAGCAAGCGUUGUUCGGAGUUACUGGGCGUAAAGGGUGCGUAGGCGGUUGUUUUAAGUUUGGUGUGAAAUCUCCCGGCUCAACUGGGAGGGUGCGCCGAAUACUGAAUGACUAGAGUGCGGGAGAGGAUAGUGGAAUUCCUGGUGUAGCGGUGAAAUGCGUAGAUAUCAGGAGGAACACCGGUGGUGUAGACGGCUAUCUGGACCG